rnacentral:rRNA from 1 species
GACGAACGCUGGCGGCGUGCUUAACACAUGCAAGUCGAACGGUAAGGCCCUUCGGGGUACACGAGUGGCGAACGGGUGAGUAACACGUGGGUGAUCUGCCCUGCACUUCGGGAUAAGCCUGGGAAACUGGGUCUAAUACCGGAUAGGACCACUGCCUGCAUGGGUGGUGGUGGAAAGCUUUUGCGGUGUGGGAUGGACUCGCGGCCUAUCAGCUUGUUGGUGAGGUAAUGGCUCACCAAGGCGACGACGGGUAGCCGGCCUGAGAGGGUGACCGGCCACACUGGGACUGAGACACGGCCCAGACUCCUACGGGAGGCAGCAGUGGGGAAUAUUGCACAAUGGGCGCAAGCCUGAUGCAGCAACGCCGCGUGAGGGAUGACGGCCUUCGGGCUGUAAACCUCUUUUAGUAGGGAAGAAGCGAAAGUGACGGUACCUGCAGAAAAAGCACCGGCUAACUACGUGCCAGCCGCCGCCGUAA